GUAUCUAAUAAUCGAUCACCGAUGUAAAUAAUACAUGCUGGAUGAUUUAAAGUAAAACUAGUCGAUCGCAGACAGUGUGGAUGGCAGCUGUGUCGUUGGACGUGUCAGAUUGAUGAAUUUACCUCUUUGGAAGAGAUAAAGGAAAUAAAAAAUCAACUAUGUUACUUUGAUUAAUCAUGAGAGGGCUUUCUUAUCUGUCUGAGAGGCUGGCUUCAUGUCUCACAUCUCCAAAAAGAGUCACAAACAUGGGGUGACAAGGAAACAGACAGCAAGUAUGGUCAGUCUCUGGGGCACCUCCACUGAGCAACCCCUCUUAACAAGCCAUUAGUAAUGCACUAAUAAAACGUCCAUUAAAGGGGUAGUUCACCCAAAAAUUCUCUCAUUAUAACCCUCAUGCAUCCCAGAUGUGUACGAAUUAUUAUUUCUUCUGCAGAACACACAUUGAUUUUUUGAAGAAUUUUCAGCUCUGUAGGUCCAUACAAUGCAAGUGAAUGGUGACCGAAACUUUGAAGGUCCAAAAAUCACAAAGGCAACAUCAAAGUAAUCCACAUGACUACAGUGGUUAAAUUCAUAUCUUCAGAAGUGAUAUGAUAGGUGAGUGUGAGAAACAGGAUGAUAUUAAAGUAUUUUUUUUUUCUAUAAAUCUCCACUUUCACUUUCUUCUUCUUUUGUUUUUGCCACAUAUCGCCACCUACUGGCCAGGGAGAAGAAUUUAUAGUAAAUAAUUACUUAAAUAUUGAUAUAAUAUGAUAAUAAUAUAUCUGUUCUCACCCAUCUAUCAUAUCGCUUGGAUUUAAUCAUGUGGAUUACAUUUAUGCUGCCUUUAUUUGCUUUUUGGAGCUUCAAAGAUUCGGUCACCAUUCACUUGUAUUGUAUGGAUCUUCAGAGCUGAAAUAUGCUCCUAAAAUCUUUGUGUUCAGCAGAAUAAAGGAAGUCAUACACAUUUGGGAUGGCAUAAGGGUGAGUAAAUUAUGAGAAUUUUCAUUUUUGGCUGAACUAUCCCUUUAAGAUGUGAAUACCAUGGCGGACAUCCUCUUUUCCUACACAGACAGUAAUGAAGAACCGCCUGUAAACUCUGCGAAGGGGACGGGCAGUUCUGAUAACCUGUUCAGUUCAUGAAGAAAACUUAAUAAACAAAUAUUGUUCAUU